CGGUCCAUUCUAAUCCCUGCUGGUCAGCUUGUGGCCUGCCAGGCUUCGCUUGUGGACCAGAGCACUCUAGAAGCCUAACCCAGAGGAGUGAGCAGGGUUUCCGUGGGCUCAUGCUGUGGCACUUCUAGACAAUC
ensembl:snoRNA SNORA52 small nucleolar RNA, H/ACA box 52